UACGUAGGGGGCUAGCGUUGUCCGGAUUUAUUGGGCGUAAAGAGCGUGUAGGCGGCCAGAUAGGUCUGCUGUGAAAACUCGAGGCUCAACCUCGAGAUGUCGGCGGAAACCAUUUGGCUAGAGUCCGGAAGAGGAAAGUGGAAUUCCUGGUGUAGCGGUGAAAUGCGCAGAUAUCAGGAGGAACACCGGUGGCGAAGGCGGAUCUCUGGGCCAUUACUGACGCUGAGGAGCGAAAGCGUGGGGAGCGAACAGG
rnacentral:rRNA from 1 species